UAGUUUGGUUUGGUUUUUUGCCACCCCAAGGAUUCAACUUUCUUCUUUCCCUUUUUAUUCAGCCCUAGACGCCAGUCCAUAAGAUGGUGCCACCCCUCCCCCCCCCCCCACACACACACAAUUUUGGAUUCAAUCAGAUGGAGGACUAGGAACGAAGCCCGGAGCCUCUGGAGAAUGUUCACUGCUAGUAUACAGGAUGAACUCUUCAGAGGUCCUUGCCUGUCAUUGCCAUUUCAUCUCUUGACUCUGUCUCACCCACCUGCUCUCUGUCCUUCAGCCACACCUCCAUAUCUUUCCAUCCCUCGGACACACUGGGCAUUAAUCUGAGCUAAGAGAAACCCAGAUAGAUGAAAAAACAUCCAUUCCUUCCAGUUGUCUGUGAGGGUGCAUUUGUAAGAAGUUAGCAUCCGAAUCUACAGACUAUAAUUAUCAAACUCAUGCACUAGUUGAGACAUCUGUCUUCUACAUUUAGCCUUCAGAGUUUCUGGGUCUGGAGCCUGUGGUAUUGGAAUCUACAAUUCUUGGAGAUUUGGGGUUCAAUGGAACUGUACCACUAGCUUCUCUGGACUUUCACCUUCCAUACAGUGGUGUAUUAGUCAGGGUUCUCUAGAGUCACAGAACUUAUGGAAUGUCUCUAUAUAUUAAGGUAAUUUAUUGUAAUGACUUACAGUCUGCAAUCUAACCAACCCAACAAGGGGCAGCUGUGAAUGGGAAGUCCAAGAAUCUAGUAGUUUCUCAGUCCCACAAGGCUAGGUGUUUUACCCGGCCUUCUGUGUAAGCUGGAAUCCGGAAGAAGCAGGUUCCAACAGAUGUGCUGGCAAGUAAGUGCAAGCAGGCAGAGUGAGCCUUCCUUCUUCCACUGUCCUUAUGUAGGCCUCCAGCAGAAGGAAUGGACCAUAUUAAAGGUGUGGACCACCACACCUGGAUUUGGAACUUGCUCUAUCCCAAACUGGCCUUGAACUCAGAGAUCUGCUUGCCUCUGUUGCCUGGGAUUAAAAGCUUGUAAGGACCUUGCCUGGGCCUAAGCAUUUCAUGGCCACUAUGCCUCAAGGACUGGGUCAAAAGAUCAUGCCAUCCCAUGGUAAGAUCCAGGUCAGAAGCCUGUGUCUUUCAGCCUCAAGGUCUGGAUCACAGGUGAGCCCUCCAUUUCGGGAUUGUAGUUCAUUCCAGAUAGAGUCAAACUGACGACCAGGAAUAACCAUCCUAAGUGGACAGUGGGAAUUGUCUUCACCUUCAUCUGUAAGCCAACUGCUCCCCAAUAGUCAUCUUUCUAUGGCUCUGGUAAGCAUCUAAUAUACAGUCCACAAUCUUCCUUCUCUUAAGACAUCACAUGCUUUCCACAUUGUUCUUCUCAGCUGUCACUCAGCUUCUGGCCCCAUUCCAUGACCUACUUAACUAUCACCCUAAACAUCCCUUCCUCCAAGAAAAUUCUGUCUUAGGUCUGGGCUUCCUAUUCCCAGUAGCUUAUUGGAAUUGUCCCAUAAGUGUCUCCCAUCCUUCCAAACAGUGAUGUUCUGAUUGUAAGGACUAUGCUUCCUCUGUUUGCUGCUGUGGCAUGACCAUCUAGCACAGUGGUUCUCAACCUUCCAAAUGCUGCAACCCUCUAAUGCUGUCCCUCAUGUUGUGGUGACCCCCAACCAUAAGCUUAUUUCAUUGCUACUUCAUAACUGUGAUUUUGCUACUGGUAUGAAUCAUAAGGUAAAUAUCUGAUAUGCAAGAUAUAGGAUAUGUGACCCCCAAAUGGGUCUCAACAUACAAGUUGAGAACCUCUUUUCUAGCUUAGGGACUUUGAUAAAUGCAGAGAUGGAUGAAUGGACAACAUAAACAAAUGCUAAGGUUUGAUGACAGUCAAGUAAGAGACUUGCAGUCGUGUGGCUAAGCCUUUCUUUAUGAUGUGACAUGAUGUACAUGUGAGAAGGAAGGCGUGGCGUGACUUAGUGGGGAGGAAUGGAGUAGUUUCUCUCCAUCAUCUGUUUGUAACAAUUACCAACAUAUGAUCAAACUUGUUUUAGCUAUAACUCUUCCUUGCUGCGUUUGUUUUCCAGAGAAAUAGUUUGCAUGCCACAAAUCCUCCUUUAACAUUGUGCAAUCAGUCCAUGAGCCUGUAGGCCUAUCGUUACUCUAGCCCCCAGAUAUUUGUACUAUCCCCAGAAGACUCCUUUUAUGCUUUAGGCUUCAACUCCUUAUUCUGUACCCCUCUAGCCACUGGCAGUAACUAGUCUGUUUUUACUCUACAUGUGUUAGACUGUUCUGGACAUCUCACACAGAUAGAACACAUACAGUUUGCUCCCUCCAAUGAAUGACCAGCUUCUUCCAUUUAGUGCAUUACAGAUUGAAUGAGCAAUUGCCUACUUUUCAGAGCUGGGUGGCAAUUCAUAUACAGACCUACCACAUUCCGAGUACAUAUGUGUAUGUGUGAGUACAUGUAUAUUCCUGUGAGUGUGUGCAUUUGGGUGCAAGUGUGUGUGUGUGUGUGUGUGUGUGUGUGUGUGUGUGUACCAGAAGAGAACCUAAGCAAUUGUUCCUCAGGAAUCAUUUAUCUUGCUUUUUUAAAAGUCUUUUUUAUAUUCAUGAUGCACUUGAUGAUAUACAGGGGUGAGCAGUGCACCCAGGACUUGCCAUACAAAUGGAAAAGAAAGGAUGGCUUUAAGAAGGUUGCUCUUUCUGUCAACCUUUCCAUGUGUUCCAGAUACUGGACUGAGAGCAUCAGACCUGAAAAGCAGGCCCUUCACCUGCUGAGCCAUCUUUCUAGGCCCAGGACAGACUUGUGAGCUUCCUUCCUCGCCUCUUCAGCACGUGGUUUUCAUCCUGUACUGCCUCAAAAACUAGGAUGGCCACAAGUGUUUUACUUAGGGUUUUGCUGCUGUGAUCAGACACCACAAAUAAUAAACGUCUUAUAAAGGACAGCAAUUAACUGGGGCUGGCUUACAACUUCAGUCAUUAUCAACAAGUCGGGAACAUGGCGGCAUUAAGCCCACACCCACAGGCACACACCUACUCCAAUGAGGCCACACGUCCUAAUAGUGCCACUCCCUGGGCCAAGCAUAUACAAGCCAUCACAACAUACAAGGAGCUGACCAAGUAGUCUAGGCUGGGCAGCCAGCAAGCUCCAGGAAUCUUCCUGUCUCUACCUCCCAGCUGGUGUUACCAGGGCAGACUUUAUUGUUUUAAAUGUGAGUUCUGGUGGAAAUAGAGUUCUUAUGCUUGAGUAGUUAGUAUACAUAAUGCUCAACUCUCACCACUGCCAAAAAUACCAUAUUUUGCUGAUGCAUUCUUCAAUUGAUGACCAACUUUCUUAUGAAAAAUUUUUUGAAUAAUGAUGGAGCUUUGAAAAUAUCAAACACACGAGUUGAGAGAGAGAGAGAGAGAGAGAGCACACUGGUGGAGAAGCAGUGAUGUCAUAACACAGAAAGCGCUGGCUGAACUUAGAGGCUCCCUCUGCCUUGUCUUCAGAGCUAUACAUAUCAGCUCUGUUCAACUACUUGAAAUUUCAUGAACUCACCUUUGAGACAUGUUAUGUCCAUCCCUCUGCCUGAACUAUUUCCUUCUAGGCCUUACCACCACUCUAAGUCUAUUUUGGAAUCUCACAUAGUAGAUUUCGUACUCCAAGAACAUUUCUCUGACAUAUGACUCACCUGUGGUUCCCAAUUUCAGGUACUCUCACAACAUGUGCAGUAACACGGCUUUGAUCUACCUACACACCACACUACACCACCACUAGGCUGUGAUCUCAUGGGCAAAAGCUAUGGCAUUCCCCACAUGUGCCAUGUGGCUUGGGGCAAUGCCCAGUGUCUGGAAGGAGCUUGCUAAGUUGAAGUAAUAUUUGAACAAAGGGAUAGUGUACACUGUCAAAAACAUCAGUCCGGAUAGGCAUCACAGUACACACCUUUAAUCCAAGCACUUAGAGGCUGAAGCAGGAAGAUUAUCACAUCAACGCCAGAGAAUGAGCUUGUCUCAAGAAAAAAAAAAAAAAAAAAAAAAGGAGCAACAAUAACAAUACUCCUUUGAAACCUUGAAUGCUGAGAAAGAAAAAGGGCUGAGCAGAUGGUGGCUGCCUUUUCUACGUGCUGGCGGUUGCAUUUCCUCAGAGAAGAAUGUGUCUUAAAAAAAAAAAUAAGUGAGAACUAGCGUAAGUGAUGUUUGUCAAAACAUAUUUGUCUUUCUAGAAAAUGUCGCGAAUGAGUCUUUAGAAAUGAUUAAAUUAUCAGCUCUCUCAUUUUCUUUCUUUGUCCACACUGUGUACUCCACACUCAGUGAUAAUUUCUAAACACAACUGAAAUAGGCUGUUUGCAGAGCCACACUGAUGGAGAGAUGCACAGUAGGAGCCAGGAUUUCCCAUCUAACCGAUCACUAGAAAUAGCCUCAAGAGGACUGUGGAGAUGGGUCCCUGGGUAGAGUCCUUGCCCUGCAAGCAGAAGUCUGAAUCCCCAGAAGCCACAGGAGGACAGAUGUAGACAUGCACGCUUCUGUAAUUUCAGCAGCCUUGUGGGGAGCUGGGAGGUGGAGACAGAAGCAUUGCCAACAGCUCACAGGCCAGCUAGAUUGGUGUACUCUGCAGCAAACAAGACACCCUGUCUCAAAAGGUAGGAUAUGAGGACAGAUAUCCAGUGUAUUCACUCACAUUGUAACUCACACACACACACAUGGGAAAUAAUAGAAGAAAUAGUCUCCUAACAGACAUUAGAAAGAAUAAAAAUGGUGUCUACUAUUUACUAGUAAUUGGUCUGCCCCCAUCACCUUCAAAGACCGGUUAACUCAGUUAAGAUUUUUUACUGUGCACACUUAUAGAAAAUCAAAGUUUUUAAGUACAUAUUGAACCCAUAGAGUUGUUACCUAGACUUGAGUAAAUGAAAUAGCCACACACAGAAAAUAAAAUUAGGUUUAUAACACUGUGCACUAAGUCUUUGAAUGGAAGUUCCCUUCAGGGUGUCACUGUAUAGAAGUAGCUGAUGCACAGAUAACUAAGUGAACUUGAUCUGUUGAAUGAAAGCAGGCAAUAGUCUCUUUCUCAGUUCACUUUCAAUAGCUUAUUUCUCAAUGUGUGAUUCCUUAAAGCAAUGGUGUAGUUUGUUUUCAUGAGACAAAUAUUGGGAUGUGGCCUUGAAUUGGCUCUCACUUUGAACUCAAAGCAUAUCUUAAGGCUGAUCCAAUGAUGAGCAAACACAGAAAUAUUGUUCCUUCAGAUCACCACGUUUAAGGUGUUCAUUAACCUUAAUCAUCAGGGCUCUUGGGAAGAAGCUGCAGGGCCAACUUUGACUGGUCCUGUGUUGUAUGAAGCUUGCUAGCAUCUAGGAAGCAUCGAGCUCACACAAAGGCCAAUCAGGGAGGUUUCCAUGGUAGCAGCCUUCUUUCUUUCUUUCUUUCUUUCUUUCUUUCUUUCUUUUUCUUGUCGGCACAUUUCUAGCAUAGAUCAGAUCUGAAUACUCACUGUGCUACUGCUUAAUGAAAAAGAAAUGGAAUAUUGAUAAUGCCAGCAGUCAGGCCUGCUUUCCAGGUGCCACACCAAGGAGAAGCAGGAUUAUCUGCUCAGCUUUCCUUUUCAACCAGUGAUCCGAUAAGGAGGCCUGGUGUCCCUUUGAUCUUGUAUGUUAAUGACCUCCAGUCAUCUCCUAUUAUUGCUAUAGAGACAAAUGGAUCUGCAUGAGAAGUACAGCUUUGUCAUCAAGGCUGCCUCUUAUAGUAGACAAGCUUGUAAGUCUCUGCCAGGGAGAAGUCAAUGUAGCAACAUGGAAAACCAAAAAGACAACAUUAAAGAAUGAAGGUGCUCAGUCCCUGCUAAGUCCGCGUAUGUAUUCAUUCUGCCCAGAUUCUCAACACCUGGGUUUUCUCAUGGUCCUUAUUACCUAACAUCAAUGCAUUGUGGAAUCACCUCUCUCUCGUUGUAAAUUAAUGAUUUCAUCUCUUAGCCACAACUAUGGGAUGGACUAUGUAGACUUCUUAUUCUACAAGAAGUCAGUAGGGAAGUUAAGGGCUACUCAGUCAUCCAACCAAAGAGGACUUACCAGGGCUAAACAUCGUCCUGCCGCUCACACCUUCCUCCUACUUAGACGAGGGUGCAGAAAGAACAUUCUUGAUCCAAUUUCAUUUAAUUUUCCUUUCUCUCUCUCAUGGGCUGGGAGAUCUGAAAAUACUUAUGAGCCAGUAUGCCUCCAGUACUUCUGUAUCAGUCACUUUAAUCAUGAAACCUGAACAAAUCAUGUCAUGGUUUUACUUACAGUUUUAAUCUUCAGUAUAAAUGGUGUAUGUGUGUGCUAUAUUCAUGAAGAUAUAUAAAAGCUGUCAUGUAGAAACUAUAUUUUAAAAAAUAUUUUAAAGGAGAAAACUAGGUAGAAUGUAGUACAGAAAUUAAUAGUUAUUUCAGCAUAAAUGUGGUUACUGAAGACCCAGGGUUGAGGUAUUAAAGUAAAUCAGAGACUAAAGGUUCUAGCUGGAAGUUGUCUAGAAAUUCCCAUAUAACUUUAGGGUAGAUGAUAUGGGAAUGUGGACAUUCUCAGUGCACAGAUAAAUUGAAGGUCAACAGAACUAGAAAUGCAGACCUAUACACUAACAGUACAGCAGUCGAAUGCUCAGCCAAUGAGAAGCAUGAGAUAGUAGGUACAGAGAUAGAACUUUCAGAAUCACACCUGAGGGAAAGCGGGGUAUACAUUCUGCCACCACGGUCAGAAACCUAACAGUGAGACCGACCAGUAUUUUAAAAGGAAGAAGCCGUACAUUUUUCCUGAAGUUUGUAAGCACCAUUGUUUUCCUAUUUAAGGAAUGACCAAAAGGUUUUUUGUUUAAUGGGUAAGAAAUUAGAAUUGUCCUGUGUAUAGAGGGCAGCCUUGAGUACAUGUGUUCUCUUUAUUUUGAACCAUUUCCUUUUAGUCUUUAACUUAUGAUAAGGUAAUCUGUUUAUUCCACCUGUCCACAGACUGAGGAACUAGGCAGGCCCUGUGCAACUGCAGAUCUCAGCAAUAGUCCCUUCUGUGACCAGGUUAGCACUAUUGAACCAGAGAUUCCUGCUAGCCAACUGCUUUGGUGCAGAAUAACAGCAGCACACCUUCCCAACCAAAAAGCCUGAGAGUGAACAUUCUAGUAGCCAUAGGUGCUAUUAACUGGGCUACCUAAAAUUCUAAGCUGGAUUGAUAGGUCAGGUAAGGUUUCUCUCCCACUGAAGCUAGCCAGGAAAGAUUGGGAAAAAUAGCUUUGUCUUCAUAUGUAUAGACAACAAAGUUCAAGCAUAAAGAUUCAAGGAAAUGUCACACCACCCAAAAAAAUGGGAAAGGAUGUGUAAUCAAGACAGAAAUAAAUAUUUCUAAAGAAUUCAAUAUAAUCUAAUUUAAAAAGAUAAAUGGUUAAAAAAAAACCUAAAUACUAACAAAAUGAAAUAAAAUUAAGCCACAAAGAAAUAAAGACAUUUUUUUCGAUAUUACAGCUAAAGAAUAUAAUGACUGAAAUGACAAACGUUUUAAAUGAACUUCAAAAGAAAGAAAACUCAACCAAUAACAGUAUACCUAGACAAACUGUGUUUCAUAAAUGGAGAAGAGAUUAAGAGUCUGCCCUCAUAGAGAAAGCAAAGAAAGACUGAAAAGUCCAUUGCUAGGAAUGGACUUUUAUUGCUAGGAAUCAAGCUUUACAAAGAAUAAAAAUUGUCACCAAUUUGAAACAAACCAUGGUCAGUAACAUGACAGAAAGCAAAUAUCACUAAAGUCAAAGAGUAAAUGUGUUGAGAAGAUGACACAGAAUCCAUUACUGGAUACUCAUAGAGAAGGCAAGAGUCUGGUGUCAGUGACUUAAAGGAUGGUUGAAGUGGGAAUUUCUGGUUUCGUUGGUUGGAGGCUCAGUUCUCAUGUGAUGUUUUUCUGGAAACUGCCUUAUAAGAGGAUGUUUUGCUGGGAACAGAUACAUGGUGUUCUUCUGGAAACUAUGUGGUGAAAGGGCAUGUGAUGUUUUGCUUGAGAGGGUACAUGAUGUUUGGAAAGAGUGUAAGUGUAAUUCAACAGACAGUGGACAACUCUCUGACAUUGGUUCACCUUGCUGGUCUUUGUUGGGCUUCGCUGACGAUGCUCUUCACUAAAAAAUCUCUUGCAUUGGUUCGCCUUGCUUUCUUCUCUGAUCUUCACUUGGAGUGACUUCAUAGAGAGAAAUGCACCAAAGAACAUCUGGUAGUGUUCCAGCUGCUUCUUGCCACUUUGGUGGACUUGUGCUGAUCAGCAGAGCCCUGUGGUUUCUUUUAAGCUGCUGCUGCUGAUUCAUUUUUGGUGUUUAGCUAGUAGACUGGAUGGCAGACAGCAAAGAUUGGAAUCACCCCAAGAAACAACUUCUUAACAGGCCCAUGUCCCCCUUGUCCUAUCAGCCGUUUUCCUCCCCUAUCUCUGGUUGGUGGGCUAUAAUGGAGGUUGAAGCAUUUAAGAACCCUUAUUAAAGUAGGUUUUCUAAAAUUCAAGCCAACAGAUGGUAGAAGUCCAUAAUUUCAUAUGAGAUCGAAAUUAACUUGCCAUAAACUCAAAAUAGAUGUUCAUUAGAGUUUUGAAGCAAUAUUUCUGGUAGCAAUGAAAGGAAGGGUCUUACAACAGAAAUGUAAUUGCAGAAAGAUAAGAAUAAGAGCCUGCCACCCGCGCACACACACAUGCAAAGAAGGAAGAAAGAAAUCCUCAAAUCAUUGUGAGACACAACAAAGAAAUAGGAAAGCAAGCAAAUUACAAAGAAAAAAGAAGAAUCAACAUUUUAACCAUCACUAACUACUUUAAAUGUAAAUGGAUUGCAAUCAAGAUCAAAAGGCAUAUUGUAAGUCUAAAUGGAUUUUAAAAGAAACAACAAGAUACAAUUUAUGGAUACAACUUAUGUUGUCUAUAGGGAAUUGACCUAGAUUUAGGGACAUGUGCUGAAUGUGAAGGGGUGUAAACAGAUGCAAUAUGCAAAUGAUUUUCAACAACCAAAAAAAAAAAGUUAGCUGACUGUAACCAUAUAUAUCUGAAAUGUCAACACUAUGAAGCAGAGGCAGUAAGACUGUGAACUGAAAGCCAGUGUUAGAUGAGACUUUAUCUCAAAAAGAAAAAAGCAAAUAAAUAGAGGAAAAAAGAGACAAAGAGGAAAUGAAGGAAUAAAGGAAAAUGGUAGCUGUGAGAUUAUAUAUAUAUAUAUAUAUAUAGAGAGAGAGAGAGAGAGAGAGAGUCAGAAUAUAUAUUUAUAGUCAGGAUGUAUAUAUAUGAUUUAAAAGAUCUAAGUCAAAAUCUGCUUUGAAGAGUCAGAGAGUGCCAUCAUAUUUUAAGGGGAUCAAAUCAAGGGGUUGGAUUAGCAUAUGAUACAUAUUAUGUGCUUAAUAGUCAAGGACCUUAAUAUGUUUAACAUUGCACAACCUAAAAGGAGAAAUGGAGAGCAAUACAAUCACUGUAGGACAUUAAUACUGCCAUUCCAAUAGACAGAUGUACAGACAGAUAACGAGUCAUGUGGUGAUAGACUUGAACAGCACUGGAGAUCUUACACGCGUUCUCGACCGGCCAGGAAAGACGCAACAAACCGGAAUCUUCUGCGGCAAAAGCUUUAUUGCUUACAUCUUCAGGAGCCAGAGACCAAGAGCAAGAGCUCUAUUGCUUACAUCUUUAGGAGCCAGAGAGCCAGAGAGCAAGAGAGCAAGAGAGCAAGAGAGCAAGAGAGCAAGGGAGAGAAUGGCGAAACCCCGUCCCUUUUUAAGGAGAAUUAUCCUCCGCCUAGGACGUGUCACUCCCUGAUUGGCUGCAGCCCAUCGGCCGAGUUGUCGUCACGGGGAAGGCAGAGCACAUGGGGUGGAGAACUACCCUUGGCACAUACGCAGAUUAUUUGUUUACCACUUAGAACACAGGAUGUCAGCGCCAUCUUGUAACGGCGAAUGUGAGGGCGGCUCCCCACACACGUGGUGAUAGACUUGAACAGCACUGGAGAUCUGUGGACCUCAGAGUGUCCUAUCCCACACCAACAGAGCACCUUUUUCAAAAAACAAUUUUAUUUGCUUUUAACAGUUUCUCUCCUUAUAGAAAAUUUCAAUGGCUUCAGCCCCAACCUCCUCCCAUUACCAUCUUUCCAUUACUUUCCAUCUACAUUAGUUAGGGUUUCUAUCUCUGUGAUAAAACACCAUGACAUCUUAAAAAUAACUUGUAGAAGAAAGGCUUUAGUUUAUAUGUCUAAGACAAGAACUUAGAGGCAGGAGGUGAAGCAGAAGCUAUGGAGGAGUGCUCCCUUUUGGCUUGCUCCCUGUGUCUUACUCAAUAGCACCCAAGGGCAACACCACUCCCAAUGAGGUGGGCCUUCCCAUAUCAAUCACCAAUUGAGAACACAGAGCACAGCCUUACCCACAGGCCAAUUCAGUAGGGGCAUUUCCUCAGUUGAGAUUUCCUCUUAAAAGACUCUAACUUGUAUCAAGUUGACAUAAAACUAACCAAGACACUACCCAACUAUAAGGUUAAUUAUUUUCUUCUUCUUCCUCCUCCUCCUCCUCCUCCUCCUCCUUCUCUUCUUUUCCCAUCAGUUUUACUUUGUGAUGCCCAGCUGUCCUAGGAAUUGGGCUUACCCAAUUCUUAGUAGGGUGUGUGAUCACCCUACUAAGAGUCAUAUCACUAAAGAACACAAUGUGUGUUUGCACAGCAACUGUCAAAUGCCCAGAGUUCCUCAGCUCUGGGAAUGCAGUAUACUCUUUAAAAAAUAAAUAUAUGACAAAGGCUUGAAGCAAAAGCUGAAAGAAUUAGAUGUGACUUGGCUUGAGGGGCAGGGCCAGGUGUGAUGAGGCAGCUAAGGGCUGCAAUUCUUGAGGCAGGGUGUUGUGACUUCUUUAAACAUAAAGCUUUUAGAGCUUUUGAACAUUUAAUUCAGAGUAACAAACAAACAUUAAACUUUAGAAAGAACACAUAUCAAUGUUCUAAGGCUGUCCUGAGCAGUGGUUCGAGUGUAGUGUGUCACUUCAGGGCCGUGUAGCUCUGAGUCUGGGACCGUCAGUUCUGGUCAUGGGCCACAUCUACACCAUGAACUGCUGUGUUCCCAUCUCUGACACCACUUAGGCCUGGUCCAUGUAUGUUGAGUGGAAAAUGAAUAAACAGAAGCAAAACUGUGAUAAUAGCAGAGAUGUUUUCACACAGGGCACUACUUAAAUCAGGAGCUCCAGAAGUGGCCAGAGAGAUGUGGGAUGGGACAGACAGUCGGGAAGACAAUGAGGAAUUGUUAGUUGUCCCAAUGAAAAGCAUUGCAUGCCUUGGAGGGCCAGAAUACAGCCAACUCCGAUGAUCACAUGGAUCGUAAUGGUCCCUUGCUGAGUCCCCGCCUCCCUCCUGAAAGAACACAUGUUCCCUCCGGUGUUCAAUGUGUCAGCUUGAUGUUUGGCACCUGUGUGCUUUGAGAAGUUCCAAGUGAUUAAAGUUAAGGAAAACCAGCCAUGAGUUUUAUUGAGGGAAAUUCAGAUUGAAUUCUCUCCAGGAAAACAUCACCAUAAAAUCAGGUAGGUUGGAGAGAGUAGUUCUCAGUGGAAACGAAUCACUUGCAACUGGUUUAGGCAUGUGUCGGGAGAUGUGCUAAAGGAAAACUCUCUGAAGUUGAUUAUUGGCCUGCCUUCGUGGAUAAAUCACUCAGAGAUUUGUGAUUUAGAACCAGGAAGAAAACACAUUCCCUCAUGACCUCAUGACGGAAUUCAUUCCGAAAGGCUUGCACAAUUUGCCUGUUCCCUAGGGAUGGGUGGAGGGACUUGUAACCUUGAAAAUAUUCUUGUAUGGAGUACAGGAAAAUGUUAUAUACUUCCACAUGAAGAGUAACACUGGAAAAGCUUUUGUUGCUGCUUAUUUGAUUUGCUCAGAUAUUUAAAAAAAAAAAACUUUAAUGUCAGCUGAUGAUGCUAAUAGCUAAUUAUCUGCCAGUUACAUCACUAAUUAUGUACUUAGUCCUCUAUCUCUGCUGUGUUCUCUGUUCUUGCUGUCAACUUCUACCUCAUUCACAUAGUUUAGAUCAUAUUUUCAGCCAGUGUUGAAACUACCCUACUAACCUGGAAACGGGAUCAAAAACAUUCCCUAAUGUUCAAGGUGAUUCAAGAAUAGAUGAAUGAACUAGAAGUUUUCCCAAAGUAUUAAAGACUUAGCUACAUACACAGGGCUAUGUAACUUGUGAGACCCAAAUGAAAGAUAUUAGGAGGGCCCUUUGUUAAAAUAAAUGAUUAACAAUUAAAAAAUGGUGACUGUGGAUCAUUAAUUCAAGUCUAGGACCCUUCAGAGCCCUGAGUACAGUGUGACACGUGGCACACACACCCAGAAAGCCUACUCGGGAUCUGUGGGACUAGCUUCACUGAAAAUAACUAAGAAAUCUCUAGUGAAUAAUAAAUUAUGACUAUGUCUUAAGAUAUGACCACCUAAUGUAUAACAUUACAUUAGGCUUCAGCAGUUCUAUUUGUAAGCUAAAUUGUAUUUCAACAUAACUCUGCAUGGUGUUUGCAAACAGAUGCAUUUUCUAGCACUGCUAAUACCUAGAAUUAGAAAACGUUUGAGCCCAUUUUCCAUGUAAGCAAGAAUCUUUUCAGAAUCUGAGUCUCUGCUACCUAUUCAAUAGCAAGUCUAGGCAAACUCACCACAUCACGAUCUCAUAACUACACCUACGUACCCACUAUUGUUUACCCCACAAGUGGAGACUCAUGGGCUAAACAAAUGACUGAGUCCAUGAACAACCACCACCACAACAAAAAAGAAACUUCCAGCAAUAAAUCAGGUCCUUGUGGAGUCAGUACUGGGCAGAAAGUCCACGGAGCCUUCAAAAUAGUACUUGAGUUAACCAUAUCUACAGGCAGUUCAGUCAACACGUGAGCAGAUAGACUUGCCUGUGAAGUGCCAUCAGAAGCAUCAGAGGGUUAAGCGAUGCAAUGGGUCAAGAUGCUGGUGUCCAUACUCUAUGCUAUCCAGGACUCAGGCUGUUGCCUGGCAAGAAUAGAGUCCUUAUAGGUUAAGUACACAUAUGGUAUAACUGUUUCUUAAGAGAUAAGUCAUGGCCUCCUCCAAAGGAGCGUUUUAUCCCCACGGUGGUUUCCCCUCUCCUCAAAGGAAGUCAUAAAAUGUGAUCCUUGAGUUUUAUAAGACAUCCAAUCUUGUGUUAAAACUUCACUAAAAGUGAUUUAUCUUGCAUUUUUGCAACAUUUCUACAUCUCACACGAUUUCCAUAAUGAUCAUGUGAGUUGCCUUUAUAUUAAGAGGGGGAAAACUUUAUAGAGAGAUUUCAUGCCUAAACCAUUUUUGGUUUCUAAGCAUAUUAAAGGCUUUCCAGGAUCCUGUUCCCAUCCGUCAGAGGCUAACCUCUGGAGCAGUAGCCGAGCCAGCUAAGCAAGUUAAGAACUGAACUUCUGAGGUGGUGUCCCAGCUUCUCCACUGCUCAACCUCCUGGGCCUCAGCAUUCUCCUCCGUAAAAAUGAUAUAAACAGAACACCUUCCACUAAAGAAGGGCUUCCAUAAAGCAUAGUCGCUACCCUUCCAAGUGUAGCUGGCUACACACCACUAUAGCACAUAAGUCUAUAUGUGUGUCUUACAAGCUAAAAGCCUCUUUCUUUUUAUUUUUUUAUUUAUUCACUUUACAUCCCAAUAUCAGCACCCCCUCCUCCCAGUAUCCCCUCUCACAGAUUCCAUCUCCCAUUCCUCCCUCUUCAUCAGAAUCAGAGACAGCCCCUGCUCCAGUUGUUGGGGACCUGCAUGAAGACCAAGCUGCACAUCUAUCACAUGUGUGCAGGGGCCUAGGUGCAGCCCAUGCUCUCUCUUUGGUUGGUAGUACAGUCUCUGGGUGCCCACAAAGGUUCAGGUUAGUUAACUCUGUUGGUCAUUAUGUGGAGUCCCUGUUCUCAAUGGGUCUCUCAAUCCUUCCCCCAACUCUUCCAUGAGACUCCCCGAGCUCCACCUAAUGUUUGACUCUGAGUCUCUGCAUCUCUUUCCAUUGGCUUCUGGGUAGACUCCCUCUGAGGGCAGUUAUGCUAGGCUCCGGUCUGCAAGCAUAACAGAGUAUCAAUAGUAUAAGGGAUUGAUUCUUGCCCAUGGGAUAGGUCUCAAUUUGGGCUAGUCAUUGGCUGGCCUUUCCCUCCAUCUCUACUCUUUGUUCCUGCACAUCUUGUAGGCAGGACACAUUUUGGAUAUAAAGUUUUGUGGUUAGGUUGCUAUCCUUAUCUCUCCACUGGGAGUCAUUCUUGGCUACAGGAAUAGCAAAAGCCUAACUUUCAAGUCACUUUCAAGUUAUCUAAAUUUGAAUAGUAACCUUUUAAUCUUCUUAAAUAAUCAGAAAACUAAAAAGGCUCCUGAUGGUACAAUAGCUACUGUGUCCAUUUAGGAUAAAUAAGGAUAACAGCCAGAAAAGGAAGGGCUGACAUGUGAACCUCACUCUUGUCACUGCCCCAGCUCAUGAUCUUUGUGGCAAGAAGAUCUUUGUUCAAGUGCCCAAGUGAAGUACUAAAUUUGAGGUCAGUUUGUUUUAACUCUUCAUCAAUAUGCGAUAUGCAGUCACUAUCCAAAGUGGAUCAUACACACACACACACACACACACACACACACACACACACACAGAAUUUGAAAAUGUUCUUCCUUGCACUUUACAAAUGGAAAGCCAGUUUCCAAGUAACUCUUGAUUCUCAGCUUCUAUGUUAAUAGGCACAGUGCCUUUGAACCACUCCCUGGCUUUAGGAAACCACACACCUGUUCUUGUAUCCAUAUCCCUGGCCCACAUUUCGUGGUUCAUCUGUUUAGCCUCAUUUUCUUAUCUUCCCCUUGAAACAUAACCCUUUUGGAGCUCUUCCAUGAACCCUUUUCCUGAAGUUUUAUUAUGCACUCUCAUAAAGAUGGUCACAGUCCAUUCUGAGUUCCCACUAUCAUCGUGAUGUCAGUGUAGCCACUUCUGCCCCAUGUAACCAAAGGCCUUCAGGACUCCCCUUGUACAUCAUCUGGUUACCUCAAACCGAGCAUGUCCCGACAAAAUCCUCAUCCCCUGAAGGCAGCAUCCUCACGGCAUUAUUUCCCAUCUCAGGAAACGGCAACCCUCUCUGCCUGGCUCACCAAGCCAGGAAUCUAUGAUUAAUCCUUAACUCACCUCACAGGCUUCACACAUAAGCCCAGUCAAUCACCAAGUCCUCUCAUCCUAUUUCCAAAAACAGUACUUUUUUAUAUUUAAUUUUUACUAUGAAUUGAAAAACCACAUUAUGUGUCAUGACCUAGCCAGGAUGUGUGUGUGUGUGUGUGUGUGUGUGUGUGUGUGUGUGUGUUGGUCACACAUGCAUCUCCUUAUGACUGAAACUUCUUUUUUGCAAGCCAGUUUAGAUCAUCAAAUGUAAGUAAGUCCAUCUGGCUCUUUUCUUCUGAUAUCUUGUGUUUUGUUUUAAAUGUUUGUGACUGGUGGUUAUUGGCAAAUACUGAACAACCAGUGCUUCAGGGAACUGGGGAAAGAACUCCUGAUGUAGUGCUUGCCCUUGUGUAAACAGCCUCACUAUGGUUGAAUGAAAGCAACCAUGUAACUGGCUCACAAAUUUCCUAAAUGUGUAAUAAUUACUCCUCACUACCAUCUCCAGCAUGUCACCACUUUUGACCUACACCUUGAUAGAUACUGAUUAUAUAAUAUAUAUACAUAUAUAUUAUAAUAUAUAUACAUUGAAACUGCCCAUUAAAUUUUCAUUUCCAUUGGUACCAUUUCCGUCUAGGCCACCACUAUUCCGGAUAGAACUGGCUUUCAGUUCCAUCUGUCCACAUUUAUUUAAUGUGCUUCAAAGACUUCUUGCUUGCCACAUUUGAUAGAAUCUAACUUUUGAAUAAUUUAAGAAGACCACCACCUCAACAGAGGAAUGGAUACAGAAAAUGUGGUACAUCUACACAAUGGAGUACUACUCAGCUAUUAAAAAGAAUGAAUUUAUGAAAUUCCUAGCCAAAUGGAUGGACCUGGAGGGCAUCAUCCUGAGUGAGGUAACACAUUCACAAAGGAACUCACACAAUAUGUACUCACUGAUAAGUGGAUAUUAGCCCAAAACCUAAGAUACCCAAGAUAUAAGAUACAAUUUCCUAAACACAUGAAACUCAAGAAAAAUGAAGACUGAAGUGUGAACACUAUGCCCCUCCUUAGAAGUGGGAACAAAACACCCUUGGAAGGAGUUACAGAGACAAAGUUUGGAGCUGAGAUAAAAGGAUGGACCAUGUAGACACUAGCAUAUCCGGGGAUCCAUCCCAUAAUCAGCUUCCAAAUGCUGACACCAUUGCAUACACUAGCAAGAUUAUGCUGAAAGGACCCUGAUAUAGCUGUCUCUUGUCAGAGUAUGCCUGGGCCUAGCAAACAUAGAAGUGGAUGCUCACAGUCGGCUAUUGGAUGGACCACAUGGCCCCCAAUGAAGGAGCUAGAGAAAGUACCAAAGAAGCUAAAGGGAUCUGCAACCCUAUAGGUGGAACAACAUUAUGAACUAACCAGUACCCCGGAGCUCUUGACUCUAGCUGCAUAUGCAUCAAAAGAUGGCCUAGUCGGCCAUCACUGGAAAGAGAGGCCCAUUGGACACGCAAACUUUAUAUGCCCCAGUACAGGGGAACGCCAGGGCCAUAAAAGGGGAGUGGGUGGGUAGGGGAGAGGGGGUGGGUGGCUAUGGGGGACUUUUGGUAUAGCAUUGCAAAUGUAAAUGAGCGAAAUACCUAAUAAAAAAUUGAAAAAAAAAAAAAAGAAGACCACCACCCACAGUUUUACACCAACCCCCUCCUGUGCCCCUCCCUGAUCUCAGCAAAAAUAAUAAUAAUAAUAAUAACUAUCUUAGACUGUUCCCUUUUUCUUGGGUCUUUGGAUAGUCCUUUUAGCUAAAAAGUUCUUUCCUCCCGUCUUUAUUCAACUAAGUGUUCCUCAUCCGGCACAGCUGAGACUUGCAGUCAGGUGCCUGCAGUAUAACAAGCAUGUUGGGAACUGCUAAGGUGACAAAGGAGGAUAAGGACAGAUACAACUUCUCGCCUCACAAAAUGUGUGCUCUGCUUCAAGUAAAGUUAGGACUCAAGUUUAAGCACUAAUAAAAGAGCUUAAAACAAAACAAAACAAAACAAAACAAAAAACAAAACUGUGUUCUCUAGGAACUUACUGUAUUUGAAUCAACCUGACGGGUUGGGGUGGGAGAGGAGACUUUCCUGAGUAAAGUAAUGGCUGCUUAUUUAUCACAGAACUAGGAUAUCUGAAGAUAAAUACAAGUUCACUAGUCCUUGACAUGGGUAACUACCAGCAUAGGUAGGAAGAGGCUCACAUGAAAAUCCACAUGGCAAGAAAGAACGUGGAAAAUCAGGGGACCAGAUGAAAUUCAGUGUAGCUAGACUCCACAGAGCAGCAGGAGAAAGGAGUCAAAGAGAAGGAAACAGACAAGUAGAGGCCAUUGUGAAUCAGGUGUCUACACUUGCUGUGCAUGACAAAGAUAUGAAUCGAGGACCAUUGACCAUAGGGUUAAAGGUCAAUGCGCUCAUAUUUGUGGUAAGAAAAGUCAUGUUGCCCACUGUGACAAUUAGAAAAGUAGGGGAGAAAAGAGAAGCCCAAUGUAGAAACUUGCAGUUUCUGGAGGGAGAAAUCUUCACACAAAUUAAAAUGGUGAUAGAUAUGAAAACAAAUCAACGUGUUGCAGAGAUGGUUGAGGUAACCUCCAUCAGACCAUGCAUGAUGAAAGGGGGAGACGUACACAGGGGUAUGAGUUGCAAAAGGGAACCAGUCUCAGAGUUGAGGAAUUCGGGAGGUCUGUCCAGAAAUAGGAAGAACUUCGGCUGCAGACAGACCGAGUUGGAAUCAGAGUUAAGAUUUACAAAGUGACUUGCUUUGGGAUCUGAGACUAUUUUCUAGAGCACAGAAGAGAGAACUAGGUAGGGAAACAAGUUUGUGAAAUAUCUAUGUGUGUGAUAGGUGGGAAGCCACAGCCAUGGAUUUAUCAACAGAAUGCAUAGCAUUAAAGAGGCAAUUAUAAACUAAGCUUCAAGGGGUGUCCAGGCCUGAAGAAAUGGCUCAGUGGGUAAAAGAGCUGACUGCUGUAGCAGUGGACCUAGGUUCAGUUCCCAGCAUGCACUUCGUGACUCAGAACCUCUAUAACACUGGUCCAAUGAGUCUAAGAUCUUCUUCUGGCCUCUGAAGGCCCCAGACAAGCACAUGUUGCACUUACAUGCCUGCAAACCAACCAUCAUUACACUGAAAGUAAAACCGUGAAGUCCAUAUUUAAUGGUAGAAUACUGAAUGAAUUUACAGAGAGAGAAAAAGAAUAGUCAGUUUGUCAGGGGACAAAAGGAAAGAGAAAUGGUGAUCAAACCAGCAAGCAUGCUGUAUUGGGACAUCAAGAAUGAAGCUUAGGGACUGGAGAAAUGGCUCAAUGGGUAAGUGCACUUUUCCAGAAGACCCAUGUUCAAUUUGUAGCAUCCACAUAGCAGCUCACCACUAUGUGUAACACCAGUUCCAGGGGUUUGAUGACCUCUUCUAGCACUGUACACACAUGGUGCACAGACAUAUAUUUAGGCAAAAUACUCAAGCACAUAAAAUAAAUAAAAUAAGGAAUAUUUAAAAAUUCUGUGUGUGUGUGUGUAAAACAUAUUUCUAAAAGCAUUAAGUUAUGUUAGCAGAGGAACAAUACAAAGUAAGGACAGGAAGUUAGUAAGUAUUCACCAGUUAUGAAUUUGCCUUGGAUAGAAGGAGAGACAAAGAACAAUGGUUAUGAAAUUGUUGAAAGCAUUUUUAUUGCACAUUGAUGAAAGUCAUUUGAACAUAUCGGCUAUGAAGAAAGGCUUGAAAGAGAGUUGAAUACAGAAGAGAAUUCACAAGGAUGACUAGUCGUACAUAAGCAAUCUUUUCAACAGCAGAGAAUAAUCCCUAUGACCCACAGCACUCCUCUCCUGGCCUUUGUCAUUGUGCUGAGUCUUAGCCGUUAACAGCAGAGCCAUCUCUCUAGCUCCUGACCUUUGAAAUUGUGCCCUGACUUGCAAGUGCUCUUGUAAUUGCUUGGCCUCUCACUAGACUGUGCUCACAAGGACAGGCAUCUCCUCUGCCUCAUUUACUGCUGGGUCUCUGCAAAGUGCUCAGAUGGAAGUCACAGAUAAACAUCAGUUUUUUAACUUGUAAGUUUCAAAUAAAUGCAUUAGAAGUAUAUGUAAUACAAUGCAUAAUUCAGAAGUCUUAUAAUGCUAAUUAAUAUGCACAUAUGUGUACAUAGAUAGAUAUACACAUGCAUGCAUGCACACACACAUUCACCAUGGUUGUCGAUUUCAGCGGAUAAAAAUCUUUAACAUAAGUUGUUGUUGCCUUAAGCAUAGAUAUUUGGGCACUUAGAUGAGAAAACUUAAAAAAUGAGACAGCAAUUGAAAGCGAACCAAGAACUAAGAACUCCCGACUCACAGAUGAGCAAGGCCAUGAGUCAUCUUUGUGCAGAGAAUUUAACUGUGAUAAUAUCAAGGAAGCAAAUGAUGAAAUCACAACCUGUUAGAACAAGGGGAUACAUCAUUCACACUAAUCCAGGUGUAAGCCCAAAUAACAGGACUUCUGCAUCUGUAUCUGGAAUGAUUUGAUGACCUACAAAGUCAAAAAAAAAAGAGAGCAGAGAAAUAUGAAUAUUUUGAGACAAUACCGUGUGCCUUAGGGAAAGCAAGUCCAGACAACAAAAAGGAGAUCAAGGAUGGGUGGGAGAGGGGCUCUGGGGGCCCCACUCCUAAUUGGGUUGCUGAUGGGGGGGUAGAGGGUGGGUUUUCUGUAGCCACUGUUAAGGUCUCCAUGCACCAGCAAACUCCCCCCACCACCACCAUACACACACACACACAUACACACACACGUUCAUGCAAGCAAUCCUAAUCACUCAACAUAAACGGAGAAAUGAGACAUAAAAGGACGAAUGGGACUUGAUGGGAACAAAAGGUCCAGAAAGAAUGGAAGGGGUUAAAAAA